UGGGGAAUAUUGCGCAAUGGGGGAAACCCCGACGCAGCGACGCCGUGUGAGGGAAGAAGGCCUUCGGGCCGUAAACCUCUGUCGGGAGGGAAGAACCGCCGGUUUCCGAACAGGGAGCCGGUCUGACGGUACCUCCGAAGGAAGCGCCGGCUAACUCCGUGCCAGCAGCCGCGGUAAUACGGAGGGCGCGAGCGUUAAUCGGAAUCACUGGGCGUAAAGCGCGCGUAGGCGGCUUGAUAAGUCGGGCGUGAAAGCCCUCGGCCCAACCGAGGAACUGCGUUCGAUACUGUUAGGCUUGAGUCCUGGAGGGGUGCGGAAUUCCGGGGUGUAGGAGUGAAAUCCGUAGAUAUCCGGAGGAACACCGGUGGCGAAGGCGGCCACCUGGACAGGUACUGACGCUGA
rnacentral:rRNA from 1 species